UACGACCACAUCACGUUGAAAUACCGAUUCCCUACGAUCACCAAAGUUAAGCAACGUCGUGGCUGGUCAGUACCUAGAUAGGUGACAGCUUAGGAAUACCAGGAACUGUAAU